rfam:Sordaria macrospora k-hell, WGS project CABT02000000 data, contig: 2.38
GGCGUGGUGGCGGAGUGGUCUAACGCGCCAGACUUGAAUUUGAUAUUGAGAUCUGGUUCCUUCGGGAGCGUCUGUUCGAAUCAGGCCCACGUCG